GGGGUCCUCGUUCAAUGGGAGGACAAGAUGCUUGCACCAUCUCGAUCGGGGUUCGAUUCCCCGGGACUCCA
rnacentral:tRNA from 1 species